GAUCUCAACUUGCAGUAACUAUGUUUGACCAGCAGGAGGCAUGUGUGUACCGCCAAGCAGAGUCCAGCUGCCGGGAUGGUCCCCUGGUCCCAAAUUGAUUCUGUGAAUUCUAAAUGGCUCUCAAACAAGUUUAGAACAGGUGGGAUUUUGUUUUAAAAAGGAGGAGGAAACGCAAAUAGCAGGGACCUGCAGAGCUGGAAGUGCGGGGAACUGAGCGAUCACCACAGCAGAUACACACAGUGGGACUGCGCGGGCCGAGCGGUUAAGCCGCAGUGACGGCUGGGAUAAGUGGUGAAGCCACCGCUCCAUGGGGACCGAGCGCGGUCGCAACUAAACCCCGGUACAAGCGGUCUUCAGGGCUAGUUGGGCGACAGGGGGAGGGAGACACACAACCCCAGGCCACGAGACUCAGUAUAGUAAACAGGUUUAUUCGGGGAGAAAUCGCUUACACGCGAUGCAGAUGACCGCUGCAAGUCCCUGCUCCAAGGAUCAACACCGGCUGCCCUCCGACCGAAAGCAAGAGAGAGCGAGCCUGUCCUGGACCCCAGACCAAAUAUCACACGCUCUCGAAUGCACCUGCGACCACUUGGGCGUGGUCAGCGCCACAGAUGAGGCUGAGUGGACCUCUCCUACAAAGGCCUGGGUCAGGUACUCACGGAGGGUGUCAUGAGGCAGCGCUGAGCAGGGGCUGGCAUGCAAG
rnacentral:lncRNA from 1 species